AGCUUGAUGUAGUGGUUUGAGGACUGGACUAUGACUCUAGAGACCAGGGUUCAAAUCCCUGCUCAACUA